rnacentral:rRNA from 1 species
CGGUAAUUCCAGCUCCAAUAGCGUAUAUUAAAGUUGCUGCAGUUAAAAAGCUCGUAGUUGGAUCUCGGGUGCAGGCUUGCGGUCCGUCUCGCGGCGGUCACCGCUCGUCCUGGCCUCCACGCCGGCGCACCGUCCCUUGGUGCUCUUGACUGAGUGUCUCGGGCGGCCGGAACGUUUACUUUGAAGAAAUUAGAGUGCUCAAAGCAGGCCUUUGCCGCCUGCAUAAUGGUGCAUGGAAUAAUGGAAUAGGACCUCGGUUCUAUUUUGUUGGUUUUCGGAGCUCGAGGUAAUGAUUAAUAGGGACAGACGGGGGCAUUCGUAUUGCGGCGCUAGAGGUGAAAUUCUUGGACCGUCGCAAGACGAACUACAGCGAAAGCAUUUGCCAAGCAUGUUUUCAUUAAUCAAGAACGAAAGUCAGAGGUUCGAAGACGAUCAGAUACCGUCGUAGUUCUGACCAUAAACGAUGCCAACUGUCGAUCCGCCGGAGUUGCUUCAAUGACUCGGCGGGCAGCCUCCGGGAAACCAAAGUUUCUGGGUUCCGGGGGGAGUAUGGUUGCAAAGCUGAAACUUAAAGGAAUUGACGGAAGGGCACCACCAGGAGUGGAGCCUGUGGCUUAAUUUGACUCAACACGGGGAACCUCACCCGGCCCGGACACUGCAAGGAUUGACAGAUUGAGAGCUCUUUCUUGAUUCGGUGGGUGGUGGUGCAUGGCCGUUCUUAGUUGGUGGAGCGAUUUGUCUGGUUAAUUCCGAUAACGAACGAGACUCUAGCCUACUAAAUAGUUCGGGGAUCCUUCGUGAGUCCCCGCCAACUUCUUAGAGGGACAAGUGGCGCUUAGCCACACGAGAUUGAGCAAUAACAGGUCUGUGAUGCCCUUAGAUGUUCGGGGCCGCACAUGCGCUACACUGAGUGGAUCAGCGUGCGUCUCGCCUGGCCCGAGAGGGCUGGGAAACCCGUUGAACCCCAUUCGUGCUAGGGAUUGGGGCUUGCAAUUGUUCCCCAUGAACGAGGAAUUCCCAGUAAGCGCGAGUCAUCAGCUCGUGUUGAUUACGUCCCUGCCCUUUGUACACACCGCCCGUCGCUACUACCGAUCGCUCCAGUUAAUGAGCUCUUCGGAUUGGUCCCGUAGGCCGGCUUUCGGGCUGGCUCUCGGCGUGCCGAGAAGAUGCGCAAAUUGACCGGAGUAGAGGAAGUAAAAGUCGUAACAAGG